rnacentral:rRNA from 1 species
UUGCAUUGUUGCUAGAGCAGGGCUCGCCGCCUGUUUAUCAAAACAUCGCCUCUUGAAUAAAAUAUAAGAGGUCCAGCCUGCCCAGUGAUUCAAUUCAACGGCCGCGGUAUCCUAACCGUGCGAAGGUAGCGUAAUCACUUGUUCUUUAAAUGAGGACUAGUAUGAAUGGCACCACGAGGGUUAUACUGUCUCCUUUUUCUAUCAGUGAAACUAAUCCCCAGUGAAGAAGCUGGGAUUUUUUAUAAGACGAGAAGACCCUAUGGAGCUUUAAACUAAUUAACAUUUGCUGCCUCUCAAGUAAAGAAAACAACCUUUAGCCUAGCAUCAUGAUUAAUAGUUUUCGAUUGGGGUGAUCACGGAGAAAAGACAACCUCCAUGACGAAAGGAUUACAGCCCUGAGCAAAAGCUACAACUUUAUGCACUAAUAUUAUUAACGUUUAUUGACCCAAAAAUUUUGAUCAACGAACCAAGUUACCCUAGGGAUAACAGCGCAAUCCACUUUAAGAGCUCCUAUCGACAGGUGGGUUUACGACCUCGAUGUUGGAUCAGGGUGUCCCAGUGGUGCAGCCGCUACUAACGGUUCGUUUGUUCAACGAUUAAAACCCUACGUGAUCUGAGUUCAGACCGGGCGAGCCCUGCU